rnacentral:rRNA from 1 species
AUUGAACGCUGGCGGCAGGCUUAACACAUGCAAGUCGAGCGGGGUGAUGGUGCUUGCACUAUCACUUAGCGGCGGACGGGUGAGUAAUGCUUAGGAACCUGCCUAUUAGUGGGGGACAACAUCUCGAAAGGGAUGCUAAUACCGCAUACGUCCUACGGGAGAAAGCAGGGGAUCACUUGUGACCUUGCGCUAAUAGAUGAGCCUAAGUCGGAUUAGCUAGUUGGUGGGGUAAAGGCCUACCAAGGCGACGAUCUGUAGCGGGUCUGAGAGGAUGAUCCGCCACACUGGGACAGAGACACGGCCCAGACUCCUACGGGAGGCAGCAGUGGGGAAUAUUGGACAAUGGGGGGAACCCUGAUCCAGCCAUGCCGGGUGUGUGAAGAAGGCCUUAUGGUUGUAAAGCACUUUAAGCGAGGAGGAGGCUCUUUUGGUUAAUACCCAAGAUGAGUGGACGUUACUCGCAGAAUAAGCACCGGCUAACUCUGUGCCAGCCGCCGCCGUAACAC